AUUGAACGCUGGCGGCAGGCCUAACACAUGCAAGUCGAGCGGCUGAAGGGAGCUUGCUCCUGGAUUCAGCGGCGGACGGGUGAGUAAUGCCUAGGAAUCUGCCUGGUAGUGGGGGAUAACGUCCGGAAACGGGCGCUAAUACCGCAUACGUCCUGAGGGAGAAAGUGGGGGAUCUUCGGACCUCACGCUAUCAGAUGAGCCUAGGUCGGAUUAGCUAGUUGGUGGGGUAAAGGCCUACCAAGGCGACGAUCCGUAACUGGUCUGAGAGGAUGAUCAGUCACACUGGAACUGAGACACGGUCCAGACUCCUACGGGAGGCGGCAGUGGGGAAUAUUGGACAAUGGGCGAAAGCCUGAUCCAGCCAUGCCGCGUGUGUGAAGAAGGUCUUCGGAUUGUAAAGCACUUUAAGUUGGGAGGAAGGGCAGUAAGUUAAUACCUUGCUGGUUUGACGUUACCAACAGAAUAAGCACCGGCUAACUUCGUG
rnacentral:rRNA from 1 species